UGGGGAAUAUUGGACAAUGGGCGAAAGCCUGAUCCAGCCAUGCCGCGUGUGUGAAGAAGGUCUUCGGAUUGUAAAGCACUUUAAGUUGGGAGGAAGGGCAUUAACCUAAUACGUUAGUGUUUUGACGUUACCGACAGAAUAAGCACCGGCUAACUCUGUGCCAGCAGCCGCGGUAAUACAGAGGGUGCAAGCGUUAAUCGGAAUUACUGGGCGUAAAGCGCGCGUAGGUGGUUUGUUAAGUCGGAUGUGAAAUCCCCGGGCUCAACCUGGGAACUGCAUUCAAAACUGACUGACUAGAGUAUGGUAGAGGGUGGUGGAAUUUCCUGUGUAGCGGUGAAAUGCGUAGAUAUAGGAAGGAACACCAGUGGCGAAGGCGACCACCUGGACUAAUACUGACACUGAGGUGCGAAAGCGUGGGGAGCAAACA
rnacentral:rRNA from 1 species